UACGAAGGGGACUAGCGUUGUUCGGAAUCACUGGGCGUAAAGCGCACGUAGGCGGAUUUGUAAGUCAGGGGUGAAAUCCCGGGGCUCAACCUCGGAACUGCCUUUGAUACUGCGGAUCUUGAGUUCGAUAGAGGUGGGUGGAAUUCCUAGUGUAGAGGUGAAAGUCGUAGAUAUUAGGAAGAACACCAGUGGCGAAGGCGGCCCACUGGAUCGACACUGACGCUGAGGUGCGAAAGCGUGGGGAGCAAACAGG
rnacentral:rRNA from 1 species